rnacentral:rRNA from 1 species
GACGAACGCUGGCGGCGUGCUUAACACAUGCAAGUCGAACGAUGAAGCCGGAGCUUGCUCCGGUGGAUUAGUGGCGAACGGGUGAGUAACACGUGAGCAAUCUGCCCUUGACUCUGGGAUAACUGCGGGAAACUGUAGCUAAUACCGGAUACGACACCUUGGGGCAUCCCAGGGUGUGGAAAGAAUUUCGGUCAAGGAUGAGCUCGCGGCCUAUCAGCUAGUUGGUGAGGUAAUGGCUCACCAAGGCGACGACGGGUAGCCGGCCUGAGAGGGUGACCGGCCACACUGGAACUGAGACAUGGUCCAGACUCCUACGGGAGGCAGCAGUGGGGAAUAUUGCACAAUGGGCGAAAGCCUGAUGCAGCAACGCCGCGUGAGGGAUGAAGGCCUUCGGGUUGUAAACCUCUUUUAGCAGGGAAGAAGCGUAAGUGACGGUACCUGCAGAAAAAGCACCGGCUAACUACGUGCCAGCAGCCGCCGUAA